UUGAGUGUUCAAUUACUGUCUGUAGUUGUAGGCGAUGUCGGCGAACUCCUUCCUGCGGCUGCGGUACACUGGAUCUGUGAAGCCCUGCUCGUGCACCUGGCCGCUGAUCUGCGCGCGCAGGCAUUCGAUGACAUCGUCCAGGGCCGGCGAGCAGUUGGAGUCCACGCUGAUGAAGAACUCGUACUGCUCCUGGCUGACGCGCGACGGCCGGGACUCGAUAUGUGUCAGGUUGAUGCCCUUGUCCUGAAAAACGGCGCCGGGAUAAGAAGAUUGAGCCGAGGAAUCCAACGGACACCCCCCGAAGAACCAAAUUUAAAACCGACGGAACCACAAACGUUUUUCUACCUACCACUUUGUCCUGUUCAUUGGGCUGGGCGUCCUGAACGGAGUUCCCGUUGACCCUCUUGUAAGCCGCGUCCAUCUUCUCUGGCGUGCAGGUGCCACAAGAGGGCGGUGGAGGACUAGGCAUGCACAGGUGUCCUUUUGGAUGGAUCAAUAGGAGACUGCCCACCAGAGGGCGACAGUCGUCCACCACUGGCGUCCUAUCCUCCUCUCCCCCCCUUCUAAUCCACAGCAGCCCAUGUUGCCGUGGUGACACUCAACUGAGCAGGUGAUGCAUUGACGGCGAGCAGAUGGCUCCCUGCCGAGGUACCGCGAGUUCAACAAAAAACACCCCCUUGAAAAAUCACCUUGUUUGGAUCGGAUAGCAAAGAAAAGUCGCCACGCAAAAGCCAGAAGCCGAAGACCAGCACCGCAACGUCACCAUGGUUGGAUGAAAGGUGAAAAGAGGCCCGUCUUUGUGUCUUUUUUCGGCAAGGCCAUCUUGUGGGAAAGGCCCGUCCCGUGCCGUACUGCCCACAUGUGUCUCCAGCGUCCCUCCGCACUUUGUCCUCGCUUCCUGUCUGA